rnacentral:rRNA from 1 species
CGAUAACGAACGAGACCUUAACCUGCUAAAUAGUUAGGCCAACGUUUGUUGGUCGUCAACUUCUUAGAGGGACUAUUGACUAUUAGUCAAUGGAAGUUUGAGGCAAUAACAGGUCUGUGAUGCCCUUAGAUGUUCUGGGCCGCACGCGCGCUACACUGAUCAAGUCAACGAGUUUACAACCUUGGCCGGAAGGUCUGAGUAAUCUUUUGAAACUUGAUCGUGCUGGGGAUAGUCCAUUGCAAUUAUUGGACUUCAACGAGGAAUUCCUAGUAAGCGUGAGUCAUCAGCUCGCGUUGAUUACGUCCCUGCCCUUUGUACACACCGCCCGUCGCUACUACCGAUUGAAUGGCU